GCCAAGGCGGGCAGAUCACUUGAGGUCAGGAGUUCCAGACCAGCCUGGCCAACAUGGUGAAACCCCAUCUCUACUAAAAAUACAAAAAUUAGCCAGGCAUGGUGGUGCUCGCCUGUAAUCCCAGCUACUUGGGAGGCUGAGGCAGGAGAAUCGCUUGAACCUGGGAGAUAGAGGUUGCAGUGAGACGAGAUCGUGUCACUGCACUCUAGCCCAGGCAACAGAGUGAGACUCUGCCUCAAGAAAAAAAAAAAAAGUAGUUUCUGGCCAGGCAUAGUGGCUCACACCUAUGAUCCCAACACUUUGGGAGGCCAAAGUGAGAGGAUGGCUUGAGGCCAGGAGUUUGAGACCAGCCUGGGCAACACAGCAAGACUCUGUCUCUAAAAGAAAAAGUUUCUAAGGAUAACGUAUCAAAGGGGAGAGAUCCCCCAACAAAUGCAAUGUGGUUCUAACCUCUGUAGGGUGUCAUGGAUGUAAUAUUUUAGAAAUGUCAGCAGGUCAUGGUAUACAUUACAAACCUGAGACUUCACCAUCUCCCUCCCACAUAUGUACCCUUGGAGAGCUACUUAAUCUCCUAGGUCUCAUUUGUAAAAUGAGGCCCAAGGAGCUGUAAAAACUCAAUGAGAUGAUCCAUAAAAAUGCUCCAUACGUGACUGCCAACCACGGCCAGACCACAUUUAUUGCAAGACUCCAGUGCCAGGCGCAGGGCCCUCUGUAGCUUGAGCUCUUCCACGAGUUGGCACUCAAAUUGGGACUAUCCACUAAGGGUGGAUGGGGCACGCAAGCCAAUUUAAAAUAGUCAUGGGCUGCAUAAUGACGUUUUGGUCAACUGACUGCAUACAGGACAAUGGUCCCCUAAGAUUAUAUAUAAUGGAGCUGAAAAAUUCCCAUCACCUAGUGACGCUGUACCCAUCACAAUGUAGCGGAAUGCAUUCCCCAUGUGUUUGUGGUGAUGCUCGUGUAAACAAACCUACUGUGCGGCCAGUCACAGCAAGGUCUAGCACACACAACUGAUGAUGCUAAUUAAAGACUAUGUUGCCAGUUUAUGUCUUUACCGUACUUCCUGUUGUUGGAUCUCCAAUGGGACAACGUGUGGAGGUGGACAACAGUGAUAUUGAAGAUCCCAGCCCUGUGUGGGCCUAGGCUAAUGUGUGCGUUUGUGUCUUAGUUAACAAAAAAGUUUAAAAGCCACUUCCAGUCCUGCAAGCUCCACUCAUGGUAUAUACCCAAAAGAAAGGAGAUCAGUAUAUUGAAGAGAGAGCUUCGAUGUUUGCUGCAGCACUACUCACACCAACCAAGAUUUGGAAGCAACCUACAUGUCCAUAAACAGAUAAAUAAAGAAAAUACGGCACAUAUACACAAUGGAAUACUGCUCAGCCAUAAAAAAAAAUAAGAUCCUGUCAUUUGCAACAACAUGGAUGGAACUGGAGGUCACUAUUUUAAUUAAAAUAAGACAGGCACACGAAGACAAGCUUUGCAUGUUCUCACUUAUUUGUUGGAGUUAAAAAUGAACAUAAUUGAACUUACGAAGAUAGAGGCUAGGAAGGGUAGUGGAAGAGUGAGGGGUGGGGAGAAGUGGAGAUGGGUUAAUGGGUACAAAAAAUAAUUAGAAAGAAUAAAUAAGACCUGGCAAUUACUAGCGUAACAGGCUUACUAUAGCUAAAAAUAAUUUCACUGUCCAUUUAAAAAUACAUAAAAGAAUAUAAUAGGAUUAUUUGUAACACAAUGGAUAAAUACUUGAGAUGACUGAUACCCCAUUUAUCCUGUGAUUAUUACACAUUGCAUGCCUGUAUCAAAAUAUCUCAUGUAACCCAUAAAUACAUAUACCUUCUAUGUACGCACAAAAAUAAAAAAAAUCAUAAAAAAUAUAAGUUUUACUAUAGAAGUCAAUUUGGAACAAUGCUAUUUUACUUAAGAAGGAACCAAUCAACCAACCAACCAUCUCUUUUCUCCCACCUCUAUAGCCUCCUUGUGCUUCUUGGGAUAGGAUGCAGCCUCGGGGCCACGCUGUGGCCUGGUACAUCUUCUGUCACAGGAGAGGAGCAGGGAGUGUGCCCAGCCUAGCCCAGCCCACUGAAGUUUCAGGCUGCAGCUGCUGACAUUCCAUGUUUGGCUACCAUUAUGAGACAUACUGCUAUUCUUUUUUCCUUUUUUUCCAUACUUUAGCUGCUCUCUUGUUCCUUCUUGGUUCUUCCAUCUCAUCAAAUCAUCUGGCUCUUCACAAAUUAAUUUUACUGAAAAUUCAAUGCAGGUUCAUGGAGAAACAGAAAAGUACCUACUACUUAUAAGCUCUUUUUUGAAGGGUAGGCUUAGGGAUCUCUCUGAAAAUUAUAAAUACAAAACCCCCAAACCGGGGACUAUAUUGCAUACUGAGCUAAUUACAGUAUGCUUUUAGUUCUAUCAAAUCUCUGAAUGUCUCCUCUUCCUCAUAAUCACCACCACCACCAUCACCAUUGUUACCACCAUCACCAACACCACCACCACCAUCAACACCACCACCAUGAUCACCACUACCAUCAUUGUUAUCCCCACCAUCAUUACCAACUCCAUCAUCACCACCAUCACCACACAUUCUUUUAAUCAGAAUACCAGGAUUUAUUCCAAAAAUGAAAAUGUAGUCUAAAAGGUUAAGCUUUGUUAAAAAAAAAAUCUGUGGAAUGACUGAAUUUUAAGAGCAGCCAUUUUGUAAUGAAUGAAAACUCUGAAAUGAACCAAGACAUCACAUACUUUAUACCAUUUCGGAGUUUGAAGUAUUUCCAUACACAUCGGCUUAACUGAACCUUACAAACAAUGUCAGUUUUACAGAUGAAGAAACAGGCUCAGAGAGGCCAAGUCGCCAGCGUUUGUAACUAAUAAGCAGUAAGGAAUGAACUGAGAUCUGGGUUUUCAGAAUACAAUCUAGUGCUCUUCCCACCACAAUAUUCUAUUAUCAAAUAACUUUUCCCCUAAAAAAAAAAGCCUUAAAAAGAAAAAAGAAUUGAAGCUCAUGUACAAUGUUAAAUUCUCUUUUCUUCUGCUGUUAAGUGGUUUACACAAUCUAUAAAUAGGUGUCUAUAAAAAUCUAAGCAACAUAACUGUCUUAAGUGAUUAAAUUAAAAAGGAUUACAUAACAGCAUGGUUGAAAGAGAAAAGCUUUCCUUUGUCUUUAAAUUCCAAAAUGUUAGCGUAUAAAGAUAAAAUUUUCCUGGAAAAGUAUUUAAUGAAGAGCUUCCAAAAGCCAUGGUAAGCAAAAUUUUAAUUAGGUAUCAGAUUUAA